CUUAGGGUACAAAUUAUAAAUUUUAUGCUAUGAAGAUUUUUAGGAAAAAACCCGAAAAAACCGAAAUAUUCUAGAAAAUUCGUGAUUGAAAAAUUCGACUUUUAUGGUUUGGUUUGGUUUGGUAACUAAAAAAUUCGAAUCAAUCCAGCCUAUGUAUACCCCUAAUCAUCAUCAUACUAAUAUUAUAGUAUCAUAAGCAUAAAGAUCAAAAAUUAAAUGUGAAAAACUGUAAUGACCCUACAAUAUCAUUGGGCUUUUAUGACCUUAAAACCUAUAAUAUUAACAAUACAUUCAAUAUUAAUAAACAAAAUAGGUCGGCUACAGAAGUUUGUUUUGGAACGUUAAAUUUGACUUGGAAUAUCAAAGAAUUUAUUAAGGUAUAUGUAUCUAAAUUCUUCACUUUACGAAGUUAAGCUCUUUAACUUCCCAAGCGUAUAAUAAAUUUUCUGAGCUAAGAUUUAUAAUUCUUAUAUUUUAUCUUCCCCUUCUAUUUUCUUAGCUUAAAUUUUUAUAUUGUUAUGAUUUUUAAUGCAAUUCUUUUUCUUGUAAUAACAAUCUGGAUUCAAACCAUUUUACCAUCCAUGUAUAAAUCACAUAAAUUGGAUGGAGGGAGUAUAUUUUGUAUCUAUGAUUCACACCCCAACAACUACCAGAUUUUACGUGGGAAAAAAAACCCACUGCGGAGAUUAGAACUAUUGGUAGAAAAACACAAACCAAGUCUUGCAAUCAAAUUAUUUGAUCAUUUAUUAAUUGAACCAAGCCUUCAACAAAGUAUUUGAUCCAUACCUAAUUAAGCCACCCUUUCGUUGGUACCAGAAGUUCCAUCUUCAUUAUUGUCUUUGUUUAAUACUGAAGGCGACACUUUGG
rnacentral:lncRNA from 1 species